CAGCACCUCAAGUGGUCAGGAUGAUUAUUGGGCCUAAAGCAUCCGUAGCCGGCUCUGUAAGUUUUCGGUUAAAUCUGUACGCUUAACGUACAGGCCGCCGGGAAUACUGCAAAGCUAGGGAGUGGGAGAAGUAGACGGUACUCGGUAGGAAGUGGUAAAAUGCUUUGAUCUAUCGAUGACCACCUGUGGCGAAGGCGGUCUACUAGAACACGUCCGACGGUGAGGGAUGAAAGCUGGGGGAGCAAACCGGAUUAGAUACCCGGGUAGUCCCAGCUGUAAACUAUGCAAACUCAGUGAUGCAUUGGCUUGUGCCAAUGCAGUGCUGCAGGGAAGCCGUUAAGUUUGCCGCCUGGGAAGUACGUACGCAAGUAUGAAACUUAAAGGAAUUGGCGGGGAGCACCACAAGGGUGAAGCUGCGUUUCAAUUGGAGUCAACGCCGAAAUCUUACCGAGAGCGACGGAAGAAUGAAGGUCAAGCUUGAAGACUUACCAGACAAGCUGAGAGGUGGUGCAUGGCCGUCGCCAGCUCGUGCCGUGAGAUGUCCUGUUAAGUCAGGUAACGAGCGAGAUCCCUGCCUCUAGUUGCCACCAUUACUCUCAGGAGUAGUGGGGCGAAUUAGCGGGACCGCCGCAGUUAAUGCGGAGGAAGGAAGGGGCCACGGCAGGUCAGUAUGCCCCGAAACUCUGGGGCCACACGCGGGCUGCAAUGGUAACGACAAUUGGUUUCGAAUCCGAAAGGAUGAGGUAAUCCUCAAACGUUACCACAGUUAUGACUGAGGGCUGCAACUCGCCCUCACGAAUAUGGAAUCCCUAGUAACUGCGUGUCAUUAUCGCGCGGUGAAUACGUCCCUGCUCCUU
rnacentral:rRNA from 1 species